rnacentral:rRNA from 1 species
UACAGAGGUCUCAACCGUUGUUCGGAUUCAUUGGGCGUAAAGGGUGCGUAGGUGGCGGGGUAAGUCAGGUGUGAAAUCUCGAGGCUCAACCUCGAAACUGCACUUGAUACUGCCUUGCUCGAGUACUGGAGAGGAGAUUGGAAUUUACGGUGUAGCAGUGAAAUGCGUAGAUAUCGUAAGGAAGACCAGUGGCGAAGGCGAAUCUCUGGACAGUUACUGACACUGAGGCACGAAGGCCAGGGGAGCAAACGGG